rnacentral:rRNA from 1 species
GAUGAACGCUGGCGGCGUGCUUAACACAUGCAAGUCGAACGAUUAAAGCCCCUUCGGGGGUGUAUAGAGUGGCGAACGGGUGAGUAACACGUGGGCAAUCUGCCCCUCACUUCGGGAUAACUCAGGGAAACCUGAGCUAAUACCGGAUACUCCGGUCUGACCGCAUGGUCGGACCGGGAAAGUUCCGGCGGUGAGGGAUGAGCCCGCGGCCCAUUAGCUUGUUGGUGAGGUAACGGCUCACCAAGGCGACGAUGGGUAGCCGAGCUGAGAGGCUGAUCGGCCACACUGGGACUGAGACACGGCCCAGACUCCUACGGGAGGCAGCAGUGGGGAAUCUUGCGCAAUGGGCGAAAGCCUGACGCAGCAACGCCGCGUGCGGGAUGAAGGCCUUCGGGUUGUAAACCGCUUUCAGCAGGGAUGAAACUGACAGUACCUGCAGAAGAAGCCCCGGCUAACUACGUGCCAGCAGCCGCAGUAAAAC